rfam:Triticum urartu cultivar G1812 contig1454907, whole genome shotgun sequence.
CAUGUACUCCCUCCGUCCGAAAAAACUUGUCCCAAUCUUGUUUCUAAAAUAGAUGUAUCUAGCACUAACUUGGUGAUAGAUUCAUCCAUUUGAGGGACAACCUUUUUCGGACGGAGGGAGUAUAUG